GACGAACGCUGGCGGCGUGCCUAAUACAUGCAAGUCGAACGCACUCUCGUUUAGAUUGAAGGAGCUUGCUCCUGAUUGAUAAACAUUUGAGUGAGUGGCGGACGGGUGAGUAACACGUGGGUAACCUGCCCUAAAGUGGGGGAUAACAUUUGGAAACAGAUGCUAAUACCGCAUAAAACCCAACACCGCAUGGUGUAGGGUUGAAAGAUGGUUUCGGCUAUCACUUUAGGAUGGACCCGCGGUGCAUUAGUUAGUUGGUGAGGUAAAGGCUCACCAAGACCGUGAUGCAUAGCCGACCUGAGAGGGUAAUCGGCCACACUGGGACUGAGACACGGCCCAGACUCCUACGGGAGGCAGCAGUAGGGAAUCUUCCACAAUGGACGAAAGUCUGAUGGAGCAACGCCGCGUGAGUGAAGAAGGUUUUCGGAUCGUAAAACUCUAGUUGUUGGAGAAGAAUGUAUCUGAUAGUAACUG
rnacentral:rRNA from 1 species